CGGCCCGGCCAUAGCGGUCGGGCAACACCCGGACUCAUUUCGAACCCGGAAGUUAAGCCGGCCGCGUUGGAGGGGCCAGUGAGGUCCGAAAGGCCUCGCAGGCCCCUCCAAGCCGGGGCCG
rfam:Tncultured Acidilobus sp. JCHS scf1118686607495, whole genome shotgun sequence.